rnacentral:rRNA from 1 species
AGCAGCAGCCGCGGUAAUACGUAGGUGGCAAGCGUUGUCCGGAAUUAUUGGGCGUAAAGCGCGCGCAGGCGGAUCAGUUAGUCUGUCUUAAAAGUUCGGGGCUUAACCCCGUGAUGGGAUGGAAACUGCUGAUCUAGAGUAUCGGAGAGGAAAGUGGAAUUCCUAGUGUAGCGGUGAAAUGCGUAGAUAUUAGGAAGAACACCAGUGGCGAAGGCGACUUUCUGGACGAAAACUGACGCUGAGGCGCGAAAGCCAGGGGAGCGAACGGGAUUAGAUACCCCCGUAGUCCCUGUCUCUUAUACA